UUCCCAUAUAAAGGACGUUGUGAUUCCCAGGGAUAAUGGCACCGCCUACAAAGCAAAGUAUUAUUUAAGACUUCUAACCAAGGCUGAAGGCAGAACUGUUUUUUCCUGUGCCUGAAGAAGGUACAAAGGACCUCUUCCUUCUUGCCCAUCUUGUGUAUUCAUCCAGGAAGACAGAGAGGUCAACUGAGGAUGCUCCCCCUAAAUUUAUAUUUAGCCUUGCCCGGAUCCCUCCUGGUGGCCGAUGGAUUACAGCGACGACCGAUGCCCAGCGCACACCAGUGACUUCAUCAGGGGCCUCGGCUGAGACGUGGUGUGAUCGACCCCGGAGGGCACAACGGUGCAACGCACUCGAGUAGUGGAGAAGCAGUUGGGGGCGACGGUGAGGAACCGGACCCUUGGAUAAAAUACACCAAAGAUUCACAGCCUCUUCUGCUGGAUGCCCCGGUCCACUCCCUUCAACCUGGUGACUCCAUUCUCGUUCGGACCUGGAAGGACGAGCCUCUCCAAGAGAAGUGGAAGGGACCCCACACCGUCCUGCUGGUUUCCCACAUGGCAGCAAAGGUCGAAGGACACAAGAACUGGAUUCAUCACUCUCGAC